rnacentral:siRNA from 1 species
UCACUCGACUACAUACUCGACUGC